UUUUCUCUAGGCUAAUAAUUUAACCUUUUUAGUGCCUUUUUAUAGGAAAAUCAUACCAUGACCCUCUAUCUUUUAUCAUAGCUUACCCUGUUAAAAAGAGGCUGAAAGAAGGCGUGUUUGUUCUGCUGGACAGGAGCCGAGCUUAGUGAUAUGGACGGCACGCUUCAGGCCAGUACUGGAAAUGAUGUGCUUAAAUCUGACAGGAGCCAGCUGCAAAAAAAUUGCCAUCAACAAAUUCUGCUGCCCCUAAUGGCAGCCUUUCCCCAGGAGCUUUGGCUCGCUGUGCUUGAAUGGCCCUUCUUCCUCCUCUCUUCGACGGAGCCCCAGCCGUCCCCCCUUCCCUGUAUGUCCGUUUGUCUCUAUAGGAGGAGGAGGAGUGUAUCCUUGCCAACUUCUUGCCUCCUGGCCCUGGCCCUGAAAUUGGUUGCUGUUCCCUUGGCAGCGCGUGAUCCUGGAGCUCUACAGCUGUACGCUGCAGCUAGUGACAAAUAGACAGCUUCGAGCUGCCUGCUUCAUCUUUUCUAACACAUUUACUUUCUCAACACAUUCAUUUCCUUUGUAAAAUGAAAUACUAAAUCCAGUUCUAAAAGGCAGAAAUCACAAAUGUGGAAACCAGUGGUUUUCUUUAGUGCUUGAAAUAACAGUUUUUUCAGUGAAAAGAAGCUUUGUGAAUGAAAUAAAGCAAAAUCGGCUGUGCUUUUUAAUAUUUCAGAGACAUUUGUAGCUGUGGAAAAGGUAGAUGUGGUAGUUGGUCCAUCAUACACCCUGCAGCAGUAGAGAAGUGUCAAGGCAUGAGGCCCUCCUAAGGUCUCACCUUUAAUAAUGGAUGAAAAGUUCUGUUAACCCUGGCUUAAGAAAAGGUUUGAACACCAGUAAAGAAGGCUUAUUUUGGAGAAUGGAGAGUCUGUUUUGUGGAAAACGAUAGAAAGAUCUUGGUUUGCUUGGUCUGAUAGGCCAAAGGCAAAGACAUACUUUUCUGUGGAGGUCAAGGAAAUAAGAGGUGAAGCAAGAACAAUAAGGUAAUAAUAUUCACACAAGGCUGUGUAGAUAGAAACUGGCCAAUAGCCAGCUUAACCUAGAAACAAGCAAACCACACAGGACUGAGUUUAGUCAGUGUAUGAAGGGGAUGAUACGUUGUGCUUGUAGGAGAGCAUAGCAGGGGACAGGAGCUGGAGACCGAGGCUGUCUCUUGCUGUCCUGUCAGAACAUACAGACAGGACUAUUCUAAUAGUAAUCCUUAGUGCAUGAAAUUCUUUAAUCUCUGGUUUUCCCAACAAAUUAAUAUCCAAGUAUGCCCCUAUAGACAGGUAUGUGAUGCCUCUCUGCAAUGAUGAGAAACAUUUCUCUCUCAAGCAUUGUCACCGAUGUCCUUUAUAAUCUUCUGUUUGUUCUUUCAGCAGUAGAACCGCCUGGCGUGAUUUUUAUGUGGGAUGUAGUGGGUGAUACAAAGGAGUUGAGGACAAAGCAAGUUUUCCCUAGCCUGCACAAGGGGAGAUAUGACGGGUGUCGGGCUUUGGAUGACGGGUGUCAGGCUUUGGACGUUUCAGACAUGUUCAGAUAUCCUCAAGCAGGCCUGCCUAAUUCAAUGCCCUGAGAGAGUGGAAGGGUGCUAGAAACAGAAGAACUAAAAAUGGUCUUGGAAACUGAUACUCUUUCUCACCCGGGUGGGAAAUGUUAUGGGGCAGAUUUAGUAAUGGGUCUCACCUCCGUUCAUUUUACAAAAACUGCACUAACUGUUGGCCAAAGCAUGGGAUUAAAAAAAAAUGCACUCAAUUUUAAGAAAUCUGUUUUCACAAUUGCCAGUUUUCCUGGGGUAAGUGGAGUAGUGAAAAAAGGCUGCAAAACUAAAUGGGUUAAAGCAAAAUAUAUUCAUCCUAUUGAAAAAUUCCUUUAGCCAACUGAAGUUUUUAUUUCAAGCAGUUUAGGCUCCAUAUUGGAUUUUCUUAUAUGGUAAACUAAUGGCAAAUCCCUUCAUAUUCUUCAUCUUUUCCCAUUUGCUUUUUAAGAGAAAUCUAAAUGUACAGAGAUAAAAUAUUAUAUAUUCUAUUCGCUGUAUGUGUGUCCAUGUAUUCAUUUCUAAUUGCUAUUUCUGUGGGUGACACAAUAAUAAAUUAGGUCUUUGGCCAGCUACUCCAACAAUUUCAUUUUACUUAGUGGAAAUAUUCUUGAUUUAUAUACAUAGUCACAUGAUCAGAAUUUGACCUUCUGUUUAGUUUUUUGUUAUGCUGUAUGUACAAUAACAAUAUAAUGAACUUGUGCCAUUUCAAUGGCUGCAGUGACAUUAACAAAUGGUCCUGGAACACAGCAAAGAUUCCUCAGCAAGAUAAGAUACUAUAAAUUUAGCUACUAGAGCACUGCAAGUGACAACGACGCGGUUUGGUUUUUAAACAGAAUAGCUGCAUUAAUCCAAUCUCCAUUGAAUGCACAAAGGAAGAAUUAAUGGUAAUUAGGAAGAGACAAAUGACAGCAUUCACUUCUGGAAUUCUGGGCCCACGUAAGCGUCCAGUAACCACUUUAGGUCUUUAGGUUUCUUACUUGGCAGAAAAGGAAUUAUAUACAAGGGGAACUUGCGUACUGGAAGGAGGCUCCACUCUGUCUCUAGACAUAGAGAAUAUCUACAGGAUGAGUGGAAACAGGUUUAUAAUAAUUAUACAGGGAGCUGGAAACAGGCUGGUUGCCUAAUAUGUUCCAUUUUCAUUUUACAUUUUUCUUGUAUCUGUGUUAAAUGCUCUAAUAUCUCCUCUAAGGCUGCUACAAAUCAACAAUUUAGCCCAGCAAAAAACAUGUUUUCCUUUGUCUCAUGAAACUGUCUUUGAGUUUGUCUAAAUUAGAAACUGCAAAAAAUGCAGUUUCUUUGCUGGGACUUGUAUUCCCCAGGAAAACCUUAGCAAUCUACUAAAAUACUAGCUGGACAUGAACAACCUGAGAGUGAAUCUGUUUUGUUCUGUAGAGCUACAUGCAGAACUGCAAGUUCCCUAAAGCUUUCGGUGCGAUGAUAGUGGAAGUGGAAGGUGAAGGAGAAAGAUGGGUAUGUUGUUUCUGCUUUCCAGACUCAGCAAAGUGCAAGCUUCUAAUGAUGGGAAAGAAAAAGAAACAGGAUGGACUUGGCUUUCUGGUAUGGUGGUGGCGGUGGUGGCUCAUUUUCCCCUGUGGAAUAGAAGCCGGCCUUGGGUGCUAGCUACUCAGAUGAGACUGGCAGCUCAAGCUCAGGUCUUCUUGUAUGGUGAAGAAUUGAGUUUAGGUCUUUUCCCUGGACAUGUCACUUAAUUUAAAAUCAGAAUAUUCUCCAUCCCCUCCCCCUUUUUGAAAAAGAUAGGAAAUUCUCUAUAGAAAGUGUGACCAUUAGACCAUACUGUAUGAACGUUCCAGAAUUUAACAAAUGGUAAAUAUACUGUGUGUGUUGAAACCACGCUUACAUGUCUUUGAUGAAUUAAUUGUACUGAAUGUCUAAUUAUAUGUCCAUCUACUGUUUUUCCUUUCAUUUAAUGUGUGGGACAGAUGCAUAAAGAGAUAAAAUGUCCUGACUAUCCAAUGCACAACUAAACAUUAAUUUGUAAUUUCCUCAGAUUCUUAGUCCUUGCUUUUGCCUCCUAAAAAUAUUUUAAUAAAAGCAGGAUAGCAUUGGGUUUUGUAUUUCAUAGGCUGAAAAAUGCAUGCCAGAACAGCUGUAAUCUCUGCGUAUGGUUUAAAAAGAUAACUCAAGCUUUGUAAUUCUGGAGGUUCCUUAUAUAGUGACAAUUUGUAUUACUAGUGUUUUUUGAGUGAGCAGAGAUAAUAAAGAUGCUUCGUCCAGAACAUA